GGACCUUCUGUCCUCGCCCCCAGAUGCAGUCUGGAUGUGAAUGCCAGCGCACCGUGAGAGUUCUGUUCUGAUGUCACAUUGUGUUUUCCAGGUCCGCCCCUGUGAAUCGACCUGACAGUGCAGACAUACUCUGUCAUGCCAGAUGUCUUGCUGUUGGCCCACACAGCCUCAACUGGGGCCCAGGGGAGAGGCCAGACAUGGCCCUGUUAUGAUUUCAAUGGGAAUCCAGUAGAGCUGUAGUCGGGAAUGCCUCUUUUGGCAGGCCAUCACCUUUAACCUGCAAAUAGCAGGAAGAGGAGGAAGAAGCUGAGGUUUGACCCUCAGGGGGCCAUUCCCAGACAGGGAAUCGAGCACUGAAGGAACAUGUGUGAUUUUGAUAUCCGCUGUGCUGCCGAACAGGAAACAGAGGGCAGAGCCCAGGGAGGAGUUCCCCUAAGUACAGAUUGCAUCAUCGUGUCUCAUGCUGUUAGAGCAGGCAUGCCAUCAUGCCCUGGCGUCCUCCAUUCUUCCACAGGAUGGGGCGAUUAGGAAGGCUGACAUCUCUGGGAACACACAGAGAUCCAGAAUCCUGCUGGACAACACUCGCUCAGUGACAGACAAGGAGACGGCGACACAUUCACACCUGUUAGCACCGGCAGCACGGCCCAGCUCUGACUGACGGCUUCCCUCUGGCUAUCAUCACCUCUCAAUGGCAAAGCACUGUCCAAGCAAACAGUCCAUCAUCAGCACAACGGAAGGCUCUGCAUUACUACAACAUCAUUAUCAACAACUUUUCCACAUCUCUGCUGAUUAGACCAGACAAAGAGAAAAUGUAUUUUGUUUGUUAGGAAAAGCUCACUUACUGGAAUGUGAGCCACCGGGUGGGAAUAACUGAGUGUUUGUGCAAAAGGAUAAAUUAUUGCUGUUGUGUGUUUCCAUGUGUGCAACUUGUGUGAAAGUGAAGCUGUAUGUGUAUGAACUGCUUUAGAGGAAAAUCAGUAAAUCACUGUUGUCUGAUUUGUGGCCAUGAGCAUUAAAAGGGGACUAUAUAUGCUGUAUGU